UACGUAGGGUGCGAGCGUUGUCCGGAUUUAUUGGGCGUAAAGAGCUCGUAGGCGGCUUAGUAAGUCGGGUGUGAAACCUCCAGGCUCAACCUGGAGACGCCACCCGAUACUGCUGUGGCUAGAGUCCGGUAGGGGAGCGUGGAAUUCCUGGUGUAGCGGUGAAAUGCGCAGAUAUCAGGAGGAACACCAGCGGCGAAGGCGGCGCUCUGGGCCGGUACUGACGCUGAGGAGCGAAAGCGUGGGGAGCAAACAGG
rnacentral:rRNA from 1 species